GCACCGGAUCGAGCGGCUGAUGCAGUUGCAGGCUCUACGGGCACGGCCUCGACGGCGGCGUCUGCCGAAAGACGAAGGGGAUCGUCAGAUGCCGAGCGCACCGCAUCCUGGAUCGGCAGUUCGCGGCCGAGCGACCGAACCAGAAGUGGAUUGCCGACUUCACCUACAUCUGGACCGCGGAGGGCUGGCUCUACGUAUCGGCCGUGAUCGACCUGUUCUCGCGCCGCGUGGNNNNNCGGCUGGUCGAUGAGCGCCACGAUGACGGCCCAACUGGUCGCGGAUGCACUGCUGAUGGCCGUCUGGAGGCGCGGCAAGCCAAGGGAGCUGUUGCAUCUUUUGCACCCCCCCAAGCGGGGCAGCCAGUACAGCAGCGAGCCGUUCCAGCGAUUGAUGGCCGACAGCGGCAUCGUCUGCAGCAUGAGCCGGUCCGGCAAUGUUUGGGAUAAUGCGGCGAUNNAGCUUCUUCUCGUCGUUGAAGACCGAGCGCACGGCCCGCAAAACCUAUCGCACGAGGAACGAGGCCAGGGCAGAUGUGUUCGACUACAUCGAGCGGUUCUACAA
rnacentral:misc_RNA from 1 species